UACAGAGGUGGCAAGCGUUGUUCGGAAUUACUGGGCGUAAAGGGCGCGUAGGCGGUCUUGUAAGUCUUGUGUGAAAUCCCUCGGCUUAACUGAGGAACUGCACGGGAUACUGCGAGACUUGAGAUCGGGAGAGGGAAGCGGAAUUCCGGGUGUAGCGGUGAAAUGCGUAGAUAUCCGGAGGAACACCGGUGGCGAAGGCGGCUUCCUGGACCGACACUGACGCUGGAGGUGCGAAAGGACGUGGGGAGCAAACAGG
rnacentral:rRNA from 1 species